CGAUUCCAUUUCAAAUCAGAGUGGCUCAAUCACAAAACAUAAACAUCUUCCCUCGUGUAGUUUUACCUCUCCAGCUGUUCCAAAAAAAAAAAAAAAACCCACAAAGGCAUCACCAUGGGAACAAACAGAGAACAUCAGAACGACGGGGCUGAGACUCCGACCGCAACUGGUUCCCAAAACACAACCAAAACACAAACCAAAACACUUUGGAGAAGAUCGUCUUAGACAGCAUAAUUUCCAAUCGCUUCCAAAGAGUUUGUGUCUUUGUAUGUAUGAGUGGAUGUGACUAUGUAAGCCGUUUUUGUAAAUCUGUAUUCUUGUAAGUGUGUGUGUGUGUGUGUGUGUGUGCGUUAGUGUGUAUUAAUGUGUGUGUCAUUGUCACUUUUUGAGUGGCUGGUAGACAGAAGCGUUGGGAUCCAGGGAGGAGGGACUAUUGUCCAUGAACUUGGAGGAGUAGUGUGGCGUAACCGGGCUCAGGCUGCUGCUGUCGUUGCU
rnacentral:lncRNA from 13 species